AUUGAACGCUGGCGGCAUGCUUUACACAUGCAAGUCGAACGGUAACAGGCCGCAAGGUGCUGACGAGUGGCGAACGGGUGAGUAAUGCAUCGGAACGUGCCCAGUCGUGGGGGAUAACGCAGCGAAAGCUGCGCUAAUACCGCAUACGAUCUAUGGAUGAAAGCGGGGGACCGUAAGGCCUCGCGCGAUUGGAGCGGCCGAUGUCAGAUUAGGUAGUUGGUGGGGUAAAGGCUCACCAAGCCAACGAUCUGUAGCUGGUCUGAGAGGACGACCAGCCACACUGGGAGUGAGACACGGCCCAGACUCCUACGGGAGGCAGCAGUGGGGAAUUUUGGACAAUGGGCGCAAGCCUGAUCCAGCAAUGCCGUGUGCGGGAAGAAGGCCUUCGGGUUGUAAACUGCUUUUGUACGGAACGAAACGGUCUGGGUUAAUACCCUGGGCUAAUGACGGUACCGUAAGAAUAAGCACCGGCUAACUACGUGCCAGCAGCCGCCGUAACAC
rnacentral:rRNA from 1 species